ACCUCCCUUGUCUCCGGAGUGUUAGCCCUGGGACACCGGGGGUGGUGACAUCGCCUGGCGCCAGUGGACGAGUUGAUCCAUAGGAGACUAGCCCUCCUGGCAUGUCAGGGUGAGACUUCCGAGAGCACAACGGAACCUGGAGAGGCACAGGAACCAGUGCAGGGAGCACCGCCCGAUAGACUGGUCCAAGGAUCUGAAGUCGAGGAGGAGAAAGAAGAUGAACAUGAAGAACCAGAAGAAAGCCCUGAAAAGGAUCCAAAUCCAGUAGAGUGCAGCCUGGGAGAAUCCAGUUUGAAGGCAUAGAAAGACAUGGAUAAAGGAGAAACAGUGAAUUGUUCUUCACGGAUUUGAGAGUUUCUGAUUUCCAGUAGUCCGUGGGAAAUUUUAUCAAUACUGUUUCAUUCCAAAAU